CAUUUUGGUCAAUAGGUGGAGUAAUAUCUGCACAUGCGCAGUUUCAAAACAACACAGGAAGUCAGAAGAUUCAAACCACAACGAUCACUCUCAGCUCGUUUAGAUCGGCGCCAUAAUAUGGGAAUCAAAAGAUGAAGAUUACAGUACAAAUUGAGAACGUGCACAGAAAGCUUUCCUUAAUGUGGACGCAGGUUUACAGCUCAGCCUCUGUCCCAUAUCUGGUUGAGGAGACUGUGGAUAAUCCAGAACAUCACCAGUGGAAAAAAAGGUGUGAAUGCAUUCAGAAAAAGCCCUUGUGAGUGAGUACACGGAUGCUGGGCAUGAUGAAGCACAAACCUUGAUGUGCAACACCAC